rnacentral:rRNA from 1 species
CUAGGUGCUUUUUGCGAAGGGGGUCCACCCGUUCCCAUCCCGAACACGGCAGUUAAGCCCUUCAGCGCCAAUGGUAGUCGCAAGGCGAGAGUAGGCCGGCGCCUAGA